rnacentral:rRNA from 1 species
UACGUAGGGGACAAGCGUUGUCCGGAUUUAUUGGGCGUAAAGAGCGUGUAGGCGGCCUGGUAGGUCAGCUGUGAAAACUCGAGGCUCAACCUCGAGACGCCGGUUGAAACCAUCAGGCUAGAGUCCGGAAGAGGAGAGUGGAAUUCCCGGUGUAGCGGUGAAAUGCGCAGAUAUCGGGAAGAACACCCGUGGCUAAGGCGGCUCGCUGGGCCACACCUGACGCUGAGACGCGAAAGCUAGGGGAGCGAACAGG